GGGUUGUGAGGUUAAGCGACUAAGCGUACACGGUGGAUGCCCUGGCAGUCAGAGGCGAUGAAGGACGUGCUAAUCUGCGAUAAGCGUCGGUAAGGUGAUAUGAACCGUUAUAACCGGCGAUUUCCGAAUGGGGAAACCCAGUGUGUUUCGACACACUAUCAUUAACUGAAUCCAUAGGUUAAUGAGGCGAACCGGGGGAACUGAAACAUCUAAGUACCCCGAGGAAAAGAAAUCAACCGAGAUUCCCCCAGUAGCGGCGAGCGAACGGGGAGCAGCCCAGAGCCUGAAUCAGUAUGUGUGUUAGUGGAAGCGUCUGGAAAGGCGCGCGAUACAGGGUGACAGCCCCGUACACAAAAAUGCACAUGCUGUGAGCUCGAUGAGUAGGGCGGGACACGUGGUAUCCUGUCUGAAUAUGGGGGGACCAUCCUCCAAGGCUAAAUACUCCUGACUGACCGAUAGUGAACCAGUACCGUGAGGGAAAGGCGAAAAGAACCCCGGCGAGGGGAGUGAAAAAGAACCUGAAACCGUGUACGUACAAGCAGUGGGAGCACGCUUAGGCGUGUGACUGCGUACCUUUUGUAUAAUGGGUCAGCGACUUAUAUUCUGUAGCAAGGUUAACCGAAUAGGGGAGCCGAAGGGAAACCGAGUCUUAACUGGGCGUUAAGUUGCAGGGUAUAGACCCGAAACCCGGUGAUCUAGCCAUGGGCAGGUUGAAGGUUGGGUAACACUAACUGGAGGACCGAACCGACUAAUGUUGAAAAAUUAGCGGAUGACUUGUGGCUGGGGGUGAAAGGCCAAUCAAACCGGGAGAUAGCUGGUUCUCCCCGAAAGCUAUUUAGGUAGCGCCUCGUGAAUUCAUCUCCGGGGGUAGAGCACUGUUUCGGCAAGGGGGUCAUCCCGACUUACCAACCCGAUGCAAACUGCGAAUACCGGAGAAUGUUAUCACGGGAGACACACGGCGGGUGCUAACGUCCGUCGUGAAGAGGGAAACAACCCAGACCGCCAGCUAAGGUCCCAAAGUCAUGGUUAAGUGGGAAACGAUGUGGGAAGGCCCAGACAGCCAGGAUGUUGGCUUAGAAGCAGCCAUCAUUUAAAGAAAGCGUAAUAGCUCACUGGUCGAGUCGGCCUGCGCGGAAGAUGUAACGGGGCUAAACCAUGCACCGAAGCUGCGGCAGCGACGCUUAUGCGUUGUUGGGUAGGGGAGCGUUCUGUAAGCCUGUGAAGGUGUGCUGUGAGGCAUGCUGGAGGUAUCAGAAGUGCGAAUGCUGACAUAAGUAACGAUAAAGCGGGUGAAAAGCCCGCUCGCCGGAAGACCAAGGGUUCCUGUCCAACGUUAAUCGGGGCAGGGUGAGUCGACCCCUAAGGCGAGGCCGAAAGGCGUAGUCGAUGGGAAACAGGUUAAUAUUCCUGUACUUGGUGUUACUGCGAAGGGGGGACGGAGAAGGCUAUGUUGGCCGGGCGACGGUUGUCCCGGUUUAAGCGUGUAGGCUGGUUUUCCAGGCAAAUCCGGAAAAUCAAGGCUGAGGCGUGAUGACGAGGCACUACGGUGCUGA
rnacentral:rRNA from 1 species